UCCCAUCCGGUUCAGUUGGUAAAGAAUCUGCCUGCAAUGCAGGAGACCUGGGUUCGAUCCCUGGGUUGGAA
rnacentral:tRNA from 1 species